CCUACGAGUGGCAGCAGUGAGGAAUAUUGGUCAAUGGGCGCGAGCCUGAACCAGCCAAGUAGCGUGAAGGAUGACUGCCCUACGGGUUGUCCACUUCUUUUAUAAAGGAAUAAAGUGAGGCACGUGUGCCUUUUUGUAUGUACUUUAUGAAUAAGCAUCAGCUAACUCCGUGCCAGCAGCCGCUGUCAUACGGAGGAUCCGAGCGUUAUCCGGCUUUAUUUGGUUUAAAGGGAGCGUAGAUUGGUUGUUAAGUCAGUUGUGAAAGUUUUCGGCUCAACCGUAAAAUUGCAAUUGAUACUGGCAGUCGUGAGUACAGUUGAGGUAGGCGGAAUUCGUGGUGUAGCGGUGAAAUGCUUAGAUAUCACGAAGAACUCCGAGUGCGAAGGCAGCUUACUAAACUGCCACUGACAUUGAUGCUCGAAAGUGUGGGUAUCAAACAGGAUUAGAUACCCUUGUAGUC
rnacentral:rRNA from 1 species